GGGAGAAGAAAAUAUUCCAUGAGGCCUCCCGAAGGGGCUGCCGGAGGAUGUCGUACUGGGUCCCCUUGGCGUAUAUCUCUUGUUGAGAUUCGUAUUCGCUGGUUGGUUCCGCUGGUGGUGCUGGAGGCAUUGCUUCCGCCCUCUCGUCGUUUUCGCGACUGUUUACUCUUAUUAACCCUUAACCACAUUACAGCCAACACAGCCAACACAGCCACCACAAUUUUUCAGAUUUCAGGAAUCGGCACGCCUGAGAUAUUUUUUUGAAGAGACUUUGUUCCGUCUUUCGUUGCUCGUUCCUGACGUCGAUUUGCUCGAAUUCGGUCUUUGUUUUUUUAAGGUGGGUGGGUAGUUUUGCGAGAAUGGAAGGAGUUAAACGAACUGUGUGGUGAUUUCCGCACAGCGGAGUUCAACGAUGGGGCCAGGUAGGAGGGGGAGGUGAGGGAGGGGGAGGAGAGGGAGGGGGGUUCUUGCGAUGGCGUUGUGAGGUUUGAAGGGCGAGAGCGAGAAAGGGAAGAAGAUGCGUACGACACCCAAGUGCGUGCUCCCGUACUUGUCGCACUCGUACUCAUACUCCUACAGAUCUGUUGAUUCGUCCAUGUCGUCAGGACGUGGAUGAAGCAGCAGUUAAACGGUUGUAGGUUAACAUGGUUGUGGAAGAGGAUUGCACUGCGGCGGGGGUAGUUAUGGUUGAUUGUUGAUGCAGUUGGCAGUUGAUGCGCUGAUGUGACAGUGCGGAUUUAUUUGCGGACCCUGCUACUAUGUUGGAAUGGCUGGCUGAAGGAUAGGCGUUUGUGGAUAAGGGAGGCUUGUCAUAGCUGCUGUACAAAACGUAUCUUGUUUGUUGUACGGCUGUACGGAAAAAGCGUGGAAAUGCAGGGGGUUAUGCGGGUUAUACUUGUUAAGGUGGACAUGAAAAAGGCCGAAGGGUGGGUCGGCGGCAUUUUGCGCCAGUCAGGCACCUUGUGCGUAUGUACGGAUUUUAUGGUCCUGUACGAAUGUACGGAAUAAUGUAUAUAUUCUUCUCGUCUCGGGCGCGAACCUGCCUCCAUUUCUCCCAUACCAAUACGCGUGUGUUUGUAUGUGUUUUGUUCUGUGCGCCCAAAUGUGGCAUAUACGGCAAAUUAGGGUGCAAAGAUUUUCGUAAGGCCCCUUUCAAGUCUCUCAGCUUGCACGCAUUCCCCGUCUUAAGACGUACAUACAUACAUAUGGCAUGCUGCAUACUUAGAUACAUACAUAGUUAAAUAUGGAGUGUAUAUAAGUUAGAAACCUAGUCGAGUGGAUGGAUGAAUGGAUGGAUAGCUGUUUGGGGUGAUUACAGACGGCCGACGUACCGUACGACGGUUUUGCGGAGUGUGUACACACGCGCACACACCGUCCAUUGGACAUGGAAGGGGGAGGGGAAGGGGGGGAUGCGAGUGAGGUGCGGGGCCGACAAUGUUCCAGCCUGGUGUGUAUUUUUGUACGGCUUUUCGCCGUACUUUCACUCCAGGAUGCCUUUCCCUUCCCCCCUCCUUAACCAGAGAGAUGGCGCAGAGAUGUCUUGAUGGCCUCAGAGCCCCCUUACUGUGGUGGACGCCGUUCUCCUUGUUUUCUCCUUGUUUCUCUUCCUCCUCAUGGUGAUGAUGGUAAUGAUGGCGAUGAUGGUGAUGAUGGUGGCAAGAAGGGCAGAGGUGGUUGUGAGGAGGGUGGGGGGGGCGGGGGGGAAGGUCCUCUCCCCCCCCACAUACACACACCCCUCUUGGGUGGUUUGUUUUGUCCAAAGGCAUGUGUACGUCCACGCAGGUGCAGGUGUGUGUAUGUACGGCUGUUUCCAUUAUUUACCUAAAUUCAGAGAAGAUUUCUUCUCCACUGCUUUUUGGCUUGUUGGCCUCUCCGCCCCCGGAUGUAGUCGGCCUGUGUGCACAUAUUGUGUGUGAGGAGGAGGGAGGGAGUGUUGGAAUGUGACCGACACUCGCACAUAAUAUGAUACCAGUGUGAAAGGUGACGGCGGUAGUAAUGGGCCCGAGGGGGGUCCGUGGCGCUCUUCGCUGCUUCCAACGGAGGGAGCUUUUAGCUUGUCGUGGCGCCCAUCUGGACGCGACCCGGACUCUGUCCCNN
rnacentral:lncRNA from 1 species